rnacentral:rRNA from 1 species
ACGGCUCAGUAACACGUGGAUAACCUGCCCUUGGGUCCGGCAUAACCCCGGGAAACUGGGGAUAAUUCUGGAUAACGCACAUAUGCUGGAAUGCUUUAUGCGUAAAAUGGAUUCGUCUGCCCAAGGAUGGGUCUGCGGCCUAUCAGGUAGUAGUGGGUGUAAUGUACCUACUAGCCAACAACGGGUACGGGUUGUGAGAGCAAGAGCCCGGAGAUGGAUUCUAAGACAUGAAUCCAGGCCCUACGGGGCGCAGCAGGCGCGAAAACUUUACAAUGCGGGAAACCGUGAUAAGGGGACACCGAGUGCCAGCAUCAUAUGCUGGCUGUCCAGGUGUGUAAACUACACCUGUUAGCAAGGGCCGGGCAAGACCGGUGCCAGCCGCCGCGGUAACACCGGCGGCCCGAGUGGUGAUCGUGAUUAUUGGGUCUAAAGGGUCCGUAGCCGGUUUGGUCAGUCCUCCGGGAAAUCUGAUAGCUCAACUAUUAGGCUUUCGGGGGAUACUGCCAGGCUUGGAACCGGGAGAGGUAAGAGGUACUACAGGGGUAGGAGUGAAAUCUUGUAAUCCCUGUGGGACCACCUGUGGCGAAGGCGUCUUACCAGAACGGGUUCGACGGUGAGGGACGAAAGCUGGGGGCACGAACCGGAUUAGAUACCCGGGUAGUCCCAGCCGUAAACGAUGCUCGCUAGGUGUCAGGCAUGGCGCGACCGUGUCUGGUGCCGCAGGGAAGCCGUGAAGCGAGCCACCUGGGAAGUACGGCCGCAAGGCUGAAACUUAAAGGAAUUGGCGGGGGAGCAC